UAAAAGUUACUCUAGGGAUAACAGGCUGAUCUCCUCCAAGAGUUCACAUCGACGAGGAGGUUUGGCACCUCGAUGUCGGCUCAUCGCAUCCUGGGGCUGAAGCCGGUCCCAAGGGUAUGGCUGUUCGCCAUUUAAAGUGGUACGCGAGCUGGGUUUAGAACGUCGUGAGACAGUUCGGUCCCUAUCUGCCGUGGACGUUGGAGAUUUGAGGAAAGCU
rnacentral:rRNA from 14 species